rnacentral:rRNA from 1 species
GACGAACGCUGGCGGCGUGCUUAACACAUGCAAGUCGAACGGAAAGCCCCCUUCGGGGGGACUCGAGUGGCGAACGGGUGAGUAACACGUGGGUGAUCUGCCCUGCACUUUGGGAUAAGCCUGGGAAACUGGGUCUAAUACCGGAUAGGAUCAUCGGCUUCAUGGUCGGUGGUGGAAAGCUUUUGCGGUGUGGGAUGGGCCCGCGGCCUAUCAGCUUGUUGGUGGGGUAAUGGCCUACCAAGGCGACGACGGGUAGCCGGCCUGAGAGGGUGUCCGGCCACACUGGGACUGAGAUACGGCCCAGACUCCUACGGGAGGCAGCAGUGGGGAAUAUUGCACAAUGGGCGCAAGCCUGAUGCAGCGACGCCGCGUGAGGGAUGACGGCCUUCGGGUUGUAAACCUCUUUCAACUACGACGAAGCGUGAGUGACGGUAGUAGUAGAAGAAGGACCGGCCAACUACGUGCCAGCCGCCGCCGUAACAC